rnacentral:rRNA from 1 species
CCUACGGGAGGCUGCAGUGAGGAAUAUUGGUCAAUGGGCGCGAGCCUGAACCAGCCAAGUAGCGUGAAGGAUGACUGCCCUACGGGUUGUAAACUUCUUUUAUAAGGGAGUAAAGUGAGGCACGUGUGCCUUUUUGUAUGUACUUUAUGAAUAAGGAUCGCCUAACUCCGUGCCAGCAGCCGCGGUAAUACGGAGGAUCCGAGCGUUAUCCGGAUUUAUUGGGUUUAAAGGGAGCGUAGAUGGGUUGUUAAGUCAGUUGUGAAAGUUUGCGGCUCAACCGUAAAAUUGCAAUUGAUACUGGCAGUCUGGAGUACAGUUGAGGUAGGUGGAAUUCGUGGUGUAGCGGUGAAAUGCGUAGAUAUCACGAAGAACACCGAUGGCGAAGGCAGCUUACUAAACUGCCACUGACAUUGAGGCUCGAAAGCGUGGGUAUCAGACAGGAUUAGAUACCCUGGUAGUC